rnacentral:rRNA from 1 species
UACAGAGGUCUCAAGCGUUGUUCGGAUUCAUUGGGCGUAAAGCGUGCGCAGGCGGUUGGCCGGGUCCGAUGUGAAAGCCCCGGGCUUAACCUGGGAAUGGCAUUGGAAACUGGCUGGCUGGAGUGUGGCAGAGGGGGGUGGAAUUCCACGUGUAGCAGUGAAAUGCGUAGAGAUGUGGAGGAACACCGAUGGCGAAGGCAGCCCCCUGGGCCAACACUGACGCUCAGGCACGAAAGCGUGGGGAGCAAGCAGG